rnacentral:rRNA from 1 species
CCUACGGGAGGCAGCAGUGGGGAAUAUUUGCACAAUGGGCGCAAGCCUGAUGCAGCAACGCCGCGUGAAGGAAGACGGUUUUCGGAUUGUAAACUUCUGUUCUUAGUGAAGAAUAAUGACGGUAGCUAAGGAGCAAGCCACGGCUAACUACGUGCCAGCA